rnacentral:rRNA from 1 species
AUUGAACGCUGGCGGCAUGCUUUACACAUGCAAGUCGAGCGGCAGCGCGGGGGCAACCCUGGCGGCGAGCGGCGAACGGGUGAGUAAUGCAUCGGAACGUACCCUGGAGUGGGGGAUAACGCCGCGAAAGCGGCGCUAAUACCGCAUAUGCUCUGAGGAGGAAAGUGGGGGACCUGCAAGGGCCUCACGCUCUGGGAGCGGCCGAUGUCCGAUUAGCUAGUUGGUGGGGUAAAGGCUUACCAAGGCGACGAUCGGUAGCUGGUCUGAGAGGAUGAUCAGCCACACUGGGACUGAGACACGGCCCAGACUCCUACGGGAGGCAGCAGUGGGGAAUUUUGGACAAUGGGGGCAACCCUGAUCCAGCCAUGCCGCGUGAGUGAAGAAGGCCUUCGGUUGUAAAGCUCUUUGGUUCGGGAGAAAGUGCUUGCUAACAGGUGGGUAGUUUGACGGUACCGGCAGAAUAAGCACCGGCUAACUACGUGCCAGCAGCCGCGGU